rnacentral:rRNA from 1 species
UUUGCUCCCCCGCCAAUUCCUUAAGUUUCAGCCAUGCAAGUCGAGAGGUGUAAGACCUCGGCAUACUGCUCAGUAACACGUGGUUAACCUGCCCUAAGGUGGAGAAUACUCCCGGGAAACUGGGGCUAAUGCUCCAUAGUGGAUAUGUCCUGGAAUGGUAUAUCCUCGAAAGAUCCGUCGCCUUAGGAUGGGACUGCGUCCGAUUAGGUUGUUGGCGGGGUAACGGCCCACCAAGCCAUUGAUCGGUACGGGUUGUGGGAGCAAGAUCCCGGAGAUGGAUUCUGAGACAUGAAUCCAGGCCCUACGGGGCGCAGCAGGCGCGCAAACUUUACAAUGCGAGCAAUCGUGAUAAGGAAACCCUGAGUGCCUGUCGAUGCAGGCUGUUCAUAUAUCUAAAUCAUAUGUGAAGAAAGGGCAGGGCAAGACCGGUGCCAGCCGCCGCGGUAAUACCGGCUGCUCGAGUGAUGGCCACUAUUACUGGGUUUAAAGCGUCCGUAGCUUGACUGUUAGGUCUCUUGGGAAAUCUUCACGCUCAACGUGAAGGCGUCUAAGAGAUACCGGCAGUCUUGGAACUGGGAGAGGUAAACCGUACUUCGGGGGUAGGAGUGAAAUCUUGUAAUCCUCGAGGGACGACCUAUGGCGAAGGCAGUUUACCAGAACAGCUUCGACAGUGAGGGACGAAAGCUGGGGGAGCAAACGGGAUUAGAUACCCCGGUAGUCCCAGCCGUAAACAAUGUGCGUUAGGUGUGUCGGUAACCACGUGUUACUGAUGCGCCGAAGAGAAAUCGUGAAACGCACCACCUGGGAAGUACGGUCGCAAGGCUGAAACUUAAAGGAAUUGGCGGGGGAGCA